rnacentral:misc_RNA from 1 species
GAUGAAGAACGUAGCGAAAUGCGAUACGUAAUGUGAAUUGCAGAAUUCAGUGAAUCAUCGAAUCUUUGAACGCAUAUUGCGCUCUCUGGUAUUCCGGAGAGCAUGCUUGUUUGAGUAUCAGUAAACACCUCAACUUCCAUAUCUUUUUUGAAAUGGGAGCUGGACUUGAGUGAUCCCAACGCUUUUCCUCACCGAAAAGUGGCGGGUUACUUGAAAUGCAGGUGCAGCUGGACUUUUCUCUGAGCUAUAAGCAUAUCUAUUUAGUCUGCCUAAAAAACAGAUUAUUACCUUUGCUGCAGCUAACAUAAAGGAGAUUAGUUCUUGUGCUGACUGAUGCAGGAUUCACAAAGACAGGCUUCGGCCGACUUUGUAAACUCGAUCUCAAAUCAAGUAAGACUACCCGCUGAACUUAAGCAUAUCAAUAAGCGGAGGA